AGAGUUUGAUCAUGGCUCAGAUUGAACGCUGGCGGCAGGCCUAACACAUGCAAGUCGAACGGUAACAGGAUUAGCUUGCUAAUCGCUGACGAGUGGCGGACGGGUGAGUAAUGCUUGGGAACUUGCCUUUGCGAGGGGGAUAACAGUUGGAAACGACUGCUAAUACCGCAUAAUGUCUACGGACCAAACGGGGCUUCGGCUCCGGCGCAAAGAGAGGCCCAAGUGAGAUUAGCUAGUUGGUAAGGUAAAGGCUUACCAAGGCAACGAUCUCUAGCUGUUCUGAGAGGAAGAUCAGCCACACUGGAACUGAGACACGGUCCAAACUCCUACGGGAGGC
rnacentral:rRNA from 1 species